AGCGGAGCCGGGGCGGUUUGUUCAUCUCCAGUGCUGACCCAGCUGCUGCUCAGCAACAGGAGAUCAAGGAUGACUCCCUGGAGCUACGGAGAACUGCCGUAGAAAAGCAGUCUCUGUGCUGGCCACCUGUGCUGCAGAGCUGUCUGCCUGGUUGUUGUUGUUACCCAGCCGAACACAAAGGGUUCAAAGCUUCAGGCUCUGGGUCUGUCUUUUGAAUCUCCUGGAAGCUGGGAUCUCUGCUUUAAAGUGAGCAUCUUGCAUUUUGUUUCCCUCAGGGAAAAUAGUGAACAUGGAAAAUCCCGUGAUGAAAUACACGGAACUGGAACAUAUUGGCAGAGGGACUUUUGGAGAUGUUUGCAUAGCACUUGACAAUGCCA